GCUUCACCGCAGACAACGUCUGUACAGCUCCACACAGGUUUUCUUUGGACUACGGCAGCAUGCUAUCUUCAUUUUCGUGGACUUGUUUCUCAUUUUAACGUCUGCUACAGGUCGUCUUCAGUUACUACGGUUCCUCCUGCUUCGCUGCUGAAACAUUCAUGUUGAGCAUUGACAAGAAGAUUGUCAACGACCGCAUCACAACCUUCACCUCUGCUAUCUGCCUAAUGUUUGGCAGUUACAGUACUACUGCUUUAACAUACACUACCCUGUGGAACUACGAUCAACACUGGAGUUCCUUCAACGGUGUUUCUUUUCCAUAAAUCCUGAGAGAGGCACCAAGGUUGAAUCAAAGAAGAAAAAAGUGUUCUCAGUCAAUCCCAGAGUCCUCACUCUCAUCUCAGACAUUGCUGAUCAUGAGUGGAUCUAGUCCUACCCCUCUUGUUUGAGACAAAGUGAUAAAGGUAUACUAUGUUACAUACUCUACAGAUGUUCUGUUUUUGAAACAUUGUUACAUUUCUGAUUGUGAGUGGGAAGUUUUUAACAAUGUGAAGUUUUACUAGACAAAAUUUCUAAAAGUACAUAUUCUACUUUUGAUUCACUGUUUUAUAUAUAAAAAAUGUAUCUGGUAAAAAUGUGGUCAACCUGCGAUUUUGUUUCUUGGAUUUUAAUUUUCCCAGUUUUAAAGAUAUUUGUAUUCCAAUAGUGUAAAAGUAUGCUUCAUGUACAUUGCUGGCAUUUUGUAGAGAACAGCACCAAAAACACUUGAAGGUGUCUGAAUUUUCUGCUAAAGGUAAUGUGAAAUAUAAUGUGUGCUCAACUUACAGCACUGGUUUUGCACAGUUUGAACAGAACUUGUAAGAAUUCUGUGAUUCCUCAGUGUUACUGUCAUGGAGAUAACUUAUUUGUGAUUU